GAGCUCACCUAGCCGGGGAGUGUGACAACAUAACAUCCAUGAGAAUCAUUGCACCCUGUCCCCCACCCCCAAAGCCAAUCCUCAGAUAGCCUCACAUGGCACAGCUAAGGCGGUUGCUUCUCAUGAAUGCCAAGAGAUGACUUGUCUUCAGCCUACCCACCCACCUGACUCAGCACCUCUACUGGCAAGCUCACUGCCCUGAACAGCACAGUCCACACACAGGUUGGACCAGAGAUCCUGAUGUAUCUUUCUUCAGUUCCCAGAGCUGCCACACGUUAAAGUUCAGACUGAGAAGGCAUCCACCAAUUGUAAACAAUGUUCAAGAAGUCUGUUCUGAUGACUCUCUGUGCUACUUUGUAUGUUUUUUUCCUGCUCUUAAGUGCCUAUAUGGGAGGGGGGAGGAUGGAGGUGGGGAUGGUGAGGAGUUUACCAAAAAAGCAGAAAUUGUGAAACUGGCCUUGGACUUCAGCCUCUGCCUAGUCAGUUAUUUAUUGAGCAUCAGCUCUGUCCCUGGAGCUGUGCUGAGCAUUAAGGAUCCCACAGUAAACAAGACAGACACAGUUCCUGUCCUCAUGGGGUUUAGAGUCCAUAGCAAAACUUUGUCAGAAAAUCGAGGUUCCCAGUACUGAGAGGGCACACCCCCUCUUUGCUGUCUCCAUGUGCCCCACCCCAAGCAGUCUUCCAGGUGUGUGGCGUGCUUCCUCUCCCUGCCUCUGAGGCUGUGUCUAGCCCCAUGCUAGAGAAGGAAGAGCAGUCUCUCUCCUGAGUUCAGAGAGGCUGACCCACCCUUGAAGUAGCCCCGAGUCUUUUGGAAGCUUCUGGGACACUGCUUCCCUGGCAGAUGGGCUCCCCCAGGACAAUGGUGAGUGGACUAGUGAGAUGUAAGUGUCAGCUUCUGGGACAAGGGGGCGACUGCCUGUCUUUGCCUCUCCCAGGCCUGCCUCUCUACCCACAACCUGCAACCUGCCUCUAGUACUGGAAAUAGUCCUGGAAUCGCAGAGACACAGGUGGCCAGGAU
rnacentral:lncRNA from 1 species